AUCAAUUAUUAACUAUGUAUUAAUUUUAUUCAUAUGAAUAAAAGAUAUACAUAUAAGAAUAUAUUGAUUAUUGUGCUAUUGAAAUGUACACAAUCUUGCUAAUAGUUUAAUCUUGCUAUGGAAAUAUAUGAUAAAAGGUAUAUAAUUUAAGGAAUUAAUUCGUUUGAAGUUGAACUUUCCAAUAUGAAUUGUAAAGCAAUGACUGAUAGAAUAAGUGAGAGAAUGAAUGUAGAUAAAUUAUAUUCCAAUGAAUGGAUCAAUCUAAUUUCAAGUGAUUCCAGCUUAGCUAGUGAUUAUGAUGAUGAUGAUGAUAUUACUUACCUUAAUAUUGUUUCUCAUAAAUCAUCGCAUCCAGUUUUUGUAGAAGCUUGUGAUGAUACGUCUAUGUCUAUUAAUGAUGACACAGCAUGCGAUACAAUUGAUAUAGAACUGUUAAAAACAAUUGAUGAUGAUUCUAAAAUUUGUCAAAAGUUAACACCAGUACCACAUAAAUUGGAAGCUACUGUGUCUCAUAAUUUUGAUGAGAUAAGACAAGAAGCUCUUCAGAUAUGUAAUCUCUUGUCUAACUUUAAAUAUGAAACAGUAUAUAAAGCUUUACGUAGGAAUUACAAAGCAGAGAAUCGUAUAGAGCUCAGUUUAUGGGACUUAUUACCUAAUAAAAGACCAAGAGUAAAACAUUUUCAAGAUUUAUCAGUACAUGGUAUGCAGAAUGUAUUAAAGAAUACAUCAAAUUCACAAACUGUAUGCAAAAAUAAGAACACUGCAUUUCAAACAAAUUGUGUAAACGGAUUGCAGGAGCAUUUAGCAAGAGAUUCUAAAGUUUCUUCUCCUACUGCAGAUGGAAUAUUAGAUCUAGCAAAAUUAACAAUUAAUCAAAAAUCACAACAUACAGAAUGUGUUACAUCAGACAGUUCUUUUAUUUUACCUUUAUCAAAGUCAGUUACUAAUGCUAACAAACAUUUAGAAACUAGAACUGCAAAUUCAUCCAUGUAUGUGGAGAAUUAUGGAAACAAUAAAUUUAAUCAAAAACAUGUCUCUUCAACAAAAAGUGAAUUUAAGUCAAACUCAACAAAGCCAUUGAUAAAUAACAAUUCUACAGACCGAAUUUUAUUUCAAUAUAUGCAGUACUUACAAUAUAUGCAAAUUGUUAAACAGCAAAAAUUAACUGGUGAAAUUAAAAAUUUUAAUUUUAACCAACGAAAUGAGGCCCGAAAAUUAUUUCUAGAAUCACAUAGUUCAAACCUACAGGAUAUAGAUAUUCAGAAAAUACAAAAUGUUGCUAAUGUUCCCACUUCCUCUGUACUUAAAGAAGGACAAGUCCUUAGCAAUGGCAGAAGAAAGAAGGAGCAACAUUCUAAAAGUAAAAAAUGCGCUGUAGAACGGUGCAAUAAUAUUGCAGUAAAAUAUAUACCACCAAAAUGUCAAUACGUAGAUGAAAGAUUAGCAUUUGCAUUUCCUCAGAUAGAUAAAAAUUCUAUUAAGCGAAUAUGUUUAAAUCUUGAAAAUGCAAGUAGUAUUUGUUCAGUUGGACAAUUGGAAAUAAUAGCUGGACGAAUACUGGAUACUAUUAUAAACUUUGCUGGAUUGUUUGCUAUCAUUAAAGCUAAUACUACAUGCAGUAAAACAGCAGUAGUAUCUGUAACUAAUUCGAAUAAUUUAUUGUCUCAUCCUAUUAAUUUUAAUGACUCAUUAAAUAGAACGAAUAAUACUUUCACACAAGCUUCCAACAGACUUUCAAUUUGUCCUUCAAAUUAUCCUAUCUCUAAAUCACAAUUAGCAUUUGGAGGGGCCAAAAAAAAAGUAAUUGGAAAAAAAAAAAUAACUGAAAGUAACAAAGAUGUUGAAGAGAAUAUUGUAUUACCUUUAAAAUUUGAAAAAAUGUAUGAAACAUUAAUAACAGUGUAUCCCCAACUUGAUAAAAAGUUUAUUAGACAAACGUGUAAAAACAUUUCAAAAGUAGAUGAUAUUUGUUCAAUUGAACAGUUAGAAGCUUUAGCUGUACAAACAAUACAAGAUAAAAUGCAAUCAACUAAAGCAAAUAUCAAGAUAUCUCAUCAGGAAGAUGAUGAAAAUAAAUUGUAUACUUCCUUAUCAGGAAUCUUUCCUGAGGCAGAUCCUGCAUAUUUGAAAAAAGUUAUUGUGCGAGCAAAAAACAGACCAUCUGAAAUAGAAAAUUUCAUACAAACUCAAUGGGACAAUCCCACUUACCCGACAAAACAAGAAAAAUUGGAAAAAAUGAGAAUUACACAGCAACAAAUGCAGUGUACUAAAAAUUUUGAUGUGAAACAAUUUUUGGAAAUAUUUCCAGACCCUGUUAAAUAUUUUACAAAUCCAGAAAGAGUCUGUAAGUUUAAUUCCGAAGCAGUUACAUUUCUUACAUCACAUUUCAGUCACUUUGAGGCGCCGCAUUUGAAAGAUAUAUAUAACGUGAACAAAUUUAAUUUAACAUUAACAGUACAAAAGUUAGAAAAUACGCCACCGCAUAAAAAAUUAGCUGGAAAUAUCGACUCAUGGGGAAGAUAUCCACCCCAGGAUAUCCCUUUAUUACAAGAAUGUGCAUACAUAACACAUAGAGAAGAAAUUUGUGAAUAUUUAAAUAAGUUAAAAGAAGCAGAAAUGAGAGAAUUUAUGGCAUUAAAGAGCAAAAAUGAGCUUUUAGAAUGUCAGUGUUGUUAUGAUAACGAAUGUAUGCCUUCUAAAUGUUCUACAUGUGAUGAUGGUCAUAUAUUUUGUAAUUCAUGCAUUUUAAGAGGAACUGAAUCCCAAUUGGGAUUAGGAAAUACGCGUAUUUCGUGUUUCUUAAAUUGUGAUGGAGAAUUUACAGUUCCAACACUUCAAAAGAUAUUACCUCCAACACAAUUUAGCAUUUUUAUACGCAAAAGGCAAGAACAAGAGGUAAUGGCUGCUAAAGUAGUAGGUUUAGUUUCUUGCCCGUUCUGUCAUUUUGCCUCUAUACCUCCUCCAGAGGAUAAAGUUUUUAAAUGUCUUAAUCCUGAAUGCAUGAAAGAAUCGUGUCGACUGUGUAAAGAGCUGAAUCAUGUGCCUCUCAGAUGUUACGAAGAAAGAUCUGAAAAAGCACGUUUAGUUUUGGAAGAAAAAAUGACAGAAGCACUUGUACGUAAAUGUUAUAAAUGUAGUAAACCAUAUUUCAAAGCAGAUGGAUGUAACAAAAUUAUUUGUCAGUGUGGGGCUAUGAUGUGUUAUAUUUGUGAUACAGCUAUAGAUAGUUAUGCUCAUUUCAGUUCUAAUGGAUGCCCAACAUAUAGCGAUAAUUAUAGUAUAAACGCUGAAACAGUUAGAGCAGUUGCAGAGAAGACUGUGGAAUUUUUGAAGAAAAAGGACCCACAUGCUGAUAUAAAGGCAGAUGAUCUUUUAAAAAAUCUUCCAUCAGCGUCACCUAAUGCAAUUAGGGGACGAGUAAAUAAGAUAACAAAAUUUGACGAAUGAAGUUUUCCUUUUCUAUUGGUUAAUUUAUUUUUAUAAAAAAAGCAGAAGAAAAAUUUUAAAAACAACAUUUGCAAGAUUAGAAUUGUUUACAACAAAAUUCAGUAAAAUAAUAAUUGAAGAUACAACAAAGUAACAAAAAAUUAAUUCCUCCAUUCUAUUUUUAUUUAGUAUUUUUUUGAUUCUGUAUUCGAUCUUAUAUCGAUGAGUCCUUCCCCUCCAUGGUGAGGAGGUUCUUCAGUGUUAUCAGGUUUUGGAGUAACCGGAUUUGUAGAGUUACUUUGCCC